UAGAGAAACCUCACGCCACCUCUCACCAACUCAUUCCUCCAUGUAGUCCCUAUGGUUCGCUUUUGGUUUGGUUUUCUGUAACGGGUUCAUUUCAUAGAUGAGGUUCAGAAAUGUGUCGGGUCUCUGUGCAGGGAUGACCUUCCAUGGUACAAAAGCAAAUUCAGAUGGCCCAACUUCAUCUUGAAGUGCUUGGUUAAUCUUCAAGUGCCUAAAUGAACAGCCUGAACAUACUGUUGAGAAAAGUGACAGGCAGUACCUAGUACACUUUCUGGAAGGUCCUGAGCUUCUGAGCAGGGACAGAGGCUGCACUCCACCCUCACCUUUUUCCAGGUAUCUGCCCAGCAGGAGCUGACAUGUAAUGCUGCCUGCUCUGUGGCUCGAUAGAAAAGGAGGCUGCACUUCUGUGUAGGCUUGAAGUCUUUACCUUAGCUUCAUGCUAAUGCAGAAACAAAAGACCUUCUGUAGGGGAAAAAAACCCCCCUCUGAAUAAAUAAAAUAAAAUGUAAGUAUAAACUUGAACCUGUUUAUUCUAAAACUGUGGGUAAUUCCAAUUCUAAUCCCAUGUGUAAAUAUUUGAAGUGCCAUUGUGAAGGGCUUUUCUUACAUGGGAGAAUUUCCUGCUGCUUGUUUUUUAAAUCCCAGCCUACAUGUGCACAGGUGAGUUCAGCUUUCUGCUGUGGGUGUCUGAGCUGCAGACAGGGAAGUGCCUGUGCGAGCAGCACAUUGGCUGUCACCCGUUUCUCAAGAUGCCAGCAGUGAGCAAAGCAGACCCUCUGAGUUUGCUCACAAGAACAAACUGGAUUGCACAGCUGCUAGCACACAAGAAACAAAGGACCCUUGAAAUAACUUCCUCAUGGAGGCAUGAGCAAAGGCUGUUGACUGAAGUUGUCACUGAACAAAAAUUCACCCCUGCUUGUUUACAUAAUGGGAAAAUACAGUCAUAAAAUGAGUGUAGCAACAACUUGGUAGGUAUUAAGGUGCAAUAUGGGGAUUAUCCUCAUAAAACACUGAGCUCUAAACUCAAACUAUCAAGAUUAACUUGACAGUUGCAUUUAGGAAGUCUUUAAAAGCUAAACUUGAUGCUUAAGGCUUUUAAGUUGCUGUUGUUCUGAGCAAGUUGAUGAAAAUCAAGGGUUC